UACGUAGGUGGCGAGCGUUGUCCGGAAUGACUGGGCGUAAAGGGCGCGUAGGCGGUCGAUUAAGUCAGGUGUGAAAACUUUGGGCUUAACCCAAAGAUUGCAUCUGAAACUGAUAGACUUGAGUGCAGGAGAGGGCAGUGGAAUUCCUAGUGUAGCGGUGAAAUGCGUAGAUAUUAGGAGGAACACCAGUGGCGAAGGCGGCUGCCUGGACUGUAACUGACGCUGAGGCGCGAAAGCGUGGGGAGCAAACAGGAUUAGAUA
rnacentral:rRNA from 1 species